UGUGUUUGCUGGAGAUAGUCGGUAUGGCUUGGCUUGUAUUGAUGGCUUGGCUUGUAUUGAUGACUUAGCUAAUUGAUUUAUACAUCAUUUUCAAAUUCACGUGGGAUUUUCAAGCCUGUUGUCCCGCUGAGACGAGGCCGGUAGCCAGGUUAAUUCAGUGGGAGACUAAUUUUUCAUGUUCUAGCAGGUUAGAUCUAGUGGGUCGGACUCUCGAGAUACACGGUCGCGUUUACCCCAUGGAAACUGAAAUACCAACAAUUAACAAUCGAAGGGGCGGAAUGGUAAGAUACUCAGUGAGAGAGCAUCAGCUGGGGGGUGAAUUGUCAACAGAACACGUAGGAACUGUUCUGCACGGCGGCGUCCGACACGCUGUGCGUAUUGAUCGCUGCGAUGACGUAAACGGGCGGAACGCCUUUGUCGGCACUGCAAAGCGCAGCGGCCGUGACAGUUUGAAGCUAGAGCUAGAGCCGUGCUUGAGUUGGUUGUCUGGUGACCGCGUAACCUGGUUUCGAAUUGAUCUUUUUCACAUAUCUUCUCGACCGUACGGACUCCAGUGCCAGACUUGUGCACAACUCUAGAUGUAGGUGUGGAAUUGGAACUGACUGCCACCUCUGCAACUGCUAGGUUCUGUACCAACACGUAACAUCUUAUGGAAGUGCUAUGGAUAUUGGCAAGUGUUGCACCAGACACAAACAUUUGUGCAAGAGGUAGAUGUUACCAAAGCCCGAGGUACUGUUACACAUUCAAACGGUGGGUGGCUCCAAGCUGCAAGGAUCAGUUUAUCAGAAGUGUUCUUGCAUAUCAGGAGAUUUCAGAAGUUGCAUUAGAGCACAUAUCAUUCAAGUCCAUUCUUGGCCACUAAACUAGUAUUUUGUAUAGUGCAUAACUUGUCGUGGUUACCAUGUGACAGCAGAUUUCCACCAUGAAAGCUGAAGCCAAGUCCAUACUCCCAACGAAUGGUCUAUGUGAUAAAACGGGUCAUAAUAUUUUUACUCUAAGACAGCUAUUGUUCAAAAGAAAUCAUUGGGUCUUUAGGCAUUACUGAUGAACACAACUGUUCAGUAGCAGUUUUUAGAGUACAUCUCUUCCAGACAGAAACAAUUUAAUAUUGAAUACUAGCCUUUUUCAUAGAAAGAAAACACAAGGCUGCAAUUAGCUAGUUUUUCCUUUUUUGAGAGACCCUGAAAUAAUGGCUGACAAUGUAGACUAAUGGCCAAUCAAAGGAUGCCCUUAGCCAACCAAAGGAGAAGACUGCAUGGACAUUGUCAGCAUGCAUGUUACUGUCUAGUAUAAUACAGAAAUACAUACACGUAAUGUGACAUUGCCAUACCAUAUGAUUAUCACUACAUAGUACUAUUUAACUAUUGUAGUGUAUUCGUUUGUUGUAGUAAAAGCAGUUUUAAUUGUUGUAUUAGUGCACGGUCUGUUGCUUAGAUAAUAUUGUAAGCAUGUGUAUUGGGUCCUUCAUCUUGAAUAAAACACAACAUAGGCAUCGGAAGCUUUCGAGGUUUAGGAUCCCAAUUUGUAUUCAUUAUAGCAUUUGGGAAGAGUAGAUGGUCUCUGACAUUGUGCUGAUGUUUGAAUGAACACCCACAUUAAUAACUUGAAAUAAAGUAGUAAGAACCAACAAUCUUAUUGUCAUCAACUUAGCUUCAUCCUACCACAAAGCCCUCACCCGUCGCAGCGGCAAACAGAGAAAGUUGUGAAAGGGAACGUCGUAGGUCUAUAGCUAGAGACUUGCUAGAGCCAACUAUGGUGUAAUACCUCUAGCUAGGCACGGUAGGGCGUUUGCAUAGUUGUAAGACACAUAAAAACUUGACAGACGGCGACCACAGCUAGAGUCUAAGACUCCUCGUCACCAAUCGCCACGCUGAUUAAGUAUCCGGGAACGUUGAAAGCACGGAAAGCUUGUCACGUGUCUUGACCCGACCGUACACCUUUCGACCGGUUUGUGAGUUGGAGUGCUGAUAGAAAGAAUGAAGCAACUAGUAAUUGCUACAACAUUAAUGUACGGUGCUACUAAGCUCUACCGCUAACCUAUAAAUCUAGAGGUGCAACUGUCUAGAUAGAGGCGUACUAGUAAACGAAAGAUAAUCGCAGCAUAAAGCGAAGACAUCAGCGGGGCAGUCUAAGUCCAAGAUGCCCAAAUUUAUGUUGGACGUGGAAUCGCGUAAAUCCGUGGAUCUGCGUUUCCACUCAGCCGUAGGUGACACUUGAUGACGUUGAGUGUACCACUUAGUGGUCCUCUUAUCAGCAGUUAGUAAGGAGAGAUGGCAGGAAGUAGGCGGGAUGAUACCAGACUCUCCCGCGCCUGGAAUUGUCAACAAGACUACUACCGCGAGAAAGUCUGCAUGGGGACGCGGCUAUAGUCCAGACGAGUCUUCUUCGACUUCCUAAAGGUCUUCGCGUCGUCCGAAUUAGAAGGCCUCCUUUCGGGGUGUUGUUGAUGAAUGGUAUGGCUAUGUUUUGAGUGCGUUAGCUAGAUUUUUUGUAACAAGUGAAAUUCGACAUUGUUUGCGUGGGAGGGGAGAAGCUCUGCCUACAAGUGUACGUACCUCUGAGAUGUAGAGUCGUGAUUUUUUGCUUGGAUAAAGUUGUAACGCUAUGGAUGUACACUGUAAUUGUCUUCAAGGUACACUCCGUCGUUGCAUAGUCGCUCCCGUACGUUUUCCAUAUUUGUAACGGUGACUACGCUCUGAUGAGUUCAGCCCAACCUUCCAACUUGAUUGCGUAUCUAGGCAAUCAAGUUUGCGGGGGACGUAAUAAAAGGGAAGAUUUCGUUUAGUUAAUUAAACAAAGUGUAUUUAUGACGUAAUUUUUAAUAAAAUAGAUAAAUAAGCGGCCGGUUUAUGCUUCAAUACUUAAUUAAGCAUGACGUCAGAAGAAAUGUAAUGCACAUGUUAAUAUUUUGAUGACGUUUUAUGACGUCAGGAACGUCACAAGCAUAUUUGGAACGUGAAACGUGAAAGGCACGAAUUGGCCGCCGUAUAUCAUUCAUGUAGACUCUUCAAACUAUCUGCUACAAGAUGAUGUAACUUUUUAGUAACUAGUUGAACUCUGCUCGAGUCCCGUGUUUGUAGAACAGACCAAUACGUGGGCCAUUCAUGCAGCUUCUACUGAGCUCUAGAUCUAGAGUAGGAUGUAUGGAUCGUAAUGCAUGAAGCUAUAGAUGAAUAGGUGCCCAGAUUAGCUCUAGUGUAUCGCUUGGAGCUGCUAGAUUUAGUACUGUCUAUUAGUGUGAACUCGGAAGUGAGUAAUGAAGUAUAUAUAGGUCACACCAGGUGUGCUAUUUAGAGCACUAAGACCUCCUCCAGUUGGACCAUAUUACACCAAUUAUCUUAUAUGGUUUCAGUUAUGAUCCGUUGGUCUUACAAGAUAAUUGGAUAAUAACCAUUGCUCCACCCGUUUGUCUUUGAUAUGCACAAGUAUUAUUUUUCCGUUUCGUUUGUACAAGGAAGAAUUUAGAUAAUUUGAUAAACAGAAAUGCCAGACCUAGCGGUUUCUAACGAUACCGAAAUCAUCGUGAAAGUCCAAAAACAGCGGAGAUAUUGAAGAUUUUCAAAGUUUACACUUAUGGGGAACAGACAGUAGGGGCUGUGAUUACUGUAUCUAAAUAUAUGGCCUUGUUACUCGUUCCUAGAAAGUAUUUCAGUAGAUAUAUGCAGUACUAAGUGUUCAAGUAGAUAUAGUGUGCCAUACAAAGAUUUCAUGAUCGACAGACACUUGACGGUAAAAAGAUGAAUGUGGAAAGUUUAGAAAUCCCACUAGGUAUAGCGGUUCAAAGAGUGUGAAUAAUAUCUGCAUCUCUGUCUAUCACUAGUAUGUGGUAUUCAAGUACAGAUAUUCUCGUACAGGAAACUACGGGUCACAUUCCUGACAUUCCCUCGUUGCGUGUACUGACUCUGAGAAGUUCUAGUUCUGGUUCUGGAUGCCUGGCUAAUUACUAAUUACCUAGCGACGAUACUUGACUCAACUAGGUUUUUUAGCUAGGUCUCUCCAGUUGUCAAAGUACGCGAAAAGAUUGGAUGGUGAUUGACUCGUGUGUCUAUGCGUCACGGCGCCUAACGAACGAUGAAAGUGUAAUAUAGAGAUACGUAAGGGAUUAUCUUCUCUUGGCUUCCUAUGACAUCAGUGGGGAGUCAGCGUUUCCGGGAGUGGAACUUGGUGUAACCUGUCUCCAUGGAGUCCGCUCACGUGCCCAUCAGACUGAAAUUACUGUGUCACAGGUCACAGUACAGGUCGCAGUGCAACGUGAUGGUUAUAAGGGAUGGCCACAGCGAGACUUUCAAACACAACUAUCAACCUCUUCCAAGUGCCGUUUUGUGUAAGUAUAAUGGGAGUGGAGAGUGAAGUCAGUUACCUAGUCCAUGCAGGAGCCGCACCUGUGAGAGUGUGGUGUAGACUUUUGGUUUGGUUAGUAUCAUCUCUUCUUGGACUGGUAUUCUUCAUAACGGGAAGGGAAGUGGAGCUAGAAUUAUCUAUUUCAACUGCCGACACUAUAACCAUGCACGUGGAGGGCUGCCCAGGAGAGAGUGAUGGCUGUUGGAUGUUUGACUUCCGGUUUAUCAAGGAGAAAGACGAUGACGAUGAAGAUGAAGAUGACCACAGGAAGCUACCUGUAUCUGUGCCAUAUCUCCACUGAUAUGCAUCAUUUCAUGAGAUGUCUUUGUGCUGUGCUGCUUACAAGAGAUAAGAAAAGGUACUCUUCAUGCAGAGAGUAGACACACUCACUGAAAGUAGAGAUGCUUAGA